GCAUUACUGAUGAGUCCCACAAUAGAACGAAAUGCUUGUCUAGUGC
rnacentral:hammerhead_ribozyme from 1 species